AUGACUCUCGGCAACGGAUAUCUUGGUCCUCGCAUCGAUGAAGAACGUAGCGAAAUGCGAUACUUGGUGUGAAUUGCAGAAUCCCGUGAACCAUCGAGUCUUUGAACGCAAGUUGCGCCCUAAGCUUCCGGGCCGAGGGCAAGCCUGCGUGGG
rnacentral:rRNA from 1 species